rnacentral:rRNA from 1 species
GACGAACGCUGGCGGCGUGCUUAACACAUGCAAGUCGAACGGUAAGGCCCUUCGGGGUACACGAGUGGCGAACGGGUGAGUAACACGUGGGUGAUCUGCCCUGCACUUCGGGAUAAGCCUGGGAAACUGGGUCUAAUACCGGAUAGGACCACUGCCUGCAUGGGUGGUGGUGGAAGGCUUUUGCGGUGUGGGAUGGGCCCGCGGCCUAUCAGCUUGUUGGUGGGGUGAUGGCCUACCAAGGCGACGACGGGUAGCCGGCCUGAGAGGGUGACCGGCCACACUGGGACUGAGAUACGGCCCAGGCUCCUACGGGAGGCAGGGGUGGGGAAUAUUGCACAAUGGGCGCAAGCCUGAUGCAGCGACGCCGCGUGAGGGAUGACGGCCUUCGGGUUGUAAACCUCUUUCAGCACCGACGAAGCGCAAGUGACGGUAGGUGCAGAAGAAGGACCGGCCAACUACGUGCCAGCCGCCGCCGUAA